rnacentral:rRNA from 1 species
AAUAAAGUUUAUAUUUAAUAUAAAUUUUCCUUUAAUUAAAUUUAAAGGUAGGGUUAUAAAUUAAAAUAAGGAAAGUAAAGAUAAAUUAGCUAUUUAUUAACAAAAAGGAAAUUUUCUGCUAUAAGAUUCGAUUUAUUUUGUUUAAAGGUAGUUGGUAGGGUAAAUGCCUACCAAGCCGAUGAUCAAAAGCCAUGUUUGAUAGAGCAGAUGGCCACAUUGGGUAUGAAAAGCCCCAAGUAGAAUUUAUCUACCAGCAGUCAAGAAUAUUAGUCAAUGCUCGCAAGAGUGAACUAGCUAACUGAAAUCACAGAAUCCACUACGUGUGGUGACUGUUAUAACGUAAGGGAAAAAAAUGAUGUUACCUUACUAUUAGUGUUGUCCAAAACUGGUGCCAGAAGACUCGGUAAGGCCAGAGACGCAAACGUUAGUCGUCCUAAUCAGGCGUAAAGGGUAUGUAGGCUGCUUUAAAAGUUUUAUAUUUAAUAGCUCUGUAUAAAAAAAGUAAUAUUUCUAAAAAUAUAAAAUUUCUAUACAGUAAAAUAUAAAAUGAAUUAAAGCUAGGAUCAAAUUGAGGAUAAGUCAAAUAAUGCUUAGUGUAGGGUUUAAAUCUGGUGAUACUAGGAGGAGUACUAACGGUGAAAGCUUUUUAUCUAGAAAUGAUUGACGCUGAGAAACGAAGGUGAGAAUAGGAAAUAGGAUUAGAUACCCAGAUACCUCUCACAGUCAACGAUGAAUGGUGGUUGUUAGUUAGUUUUAUUUAACUGAUAACGAUGUUAACACGAUAACCAUUCCGCCUUGCGAGUACGGUUGCAAAACUGAAACCAAAAAAAUUAGUCGGUCUCGAAGCAAACGAAGUGAAGCAUGUUAUUUAAUACGAUAGUACGCGUAAAAUCUUACCAGUCCUUGUAUAUCCAAUUUUUAUUAUGUAAAAAUAAUAAAGAUUGAGUAGUUUCUUAUUAUAAAAAGAAAUUCGUUUACAGGUGUUGCAUGGCUGUCGUCAGUCCGUGCCGUGAGAAGUGAGGUUAACUCCACUAACGGACGAAAUCCCUGCUGUUAAUUUUUACUUAACAGUUAAUGAUUUUUAUAAGAUUUCAUUUGGGGCGAAGACAAGUCGUUAUGGUCCUCAUGGACUGGGCUAUAGACGUGCCACGAAAACUUUUACAAAGUGAUGCAAAACCAGACCUUUAUUUUAAUUAGUAUUUAUUUUAAAUAGUAAUUAAUUAAUAUUUUUUUAAAUAAUAAGGUCAAAAGGAAUAGCUAAUCAUUAAAGAAAGUUAAAAAAAUAAAUUGAAGACGGAUUGUCGCCUGAAAUUCGGCGACAUGAAGAAGGAAUUUCGAGUAAUCGUUGAUCACUACGCAACGGUGAAGCGAGCAUUCGGGAUGAACUAACUGUCUGUCGCUGGGAAGAAGCUUAAUUUGGGGGAAAUUGCCAUGA